rnacentral:misc_RNA from 1 species
UGCAUUGAAGCCACCGCUCAAACAAUUGUGUUUCUUAACUUGUUGAAUCAACUACUAAAUUGCAGAUUCGUUUUUAAAAUGAAUACCAAAUUCUGUCUGUUGUUUUUGCUCGUUGUUUGCAUUGCUAGUUUUGUGUCGGCGAUGCCACAAGGAGACCUUACAGACUCUACCGACUGUGGCGAAAAUGAAGAAUACACAACCUGCGGCAACCUCUGUCCAAAGCGGUGCGUAGGAGGCCUUCCUUUCUGCUCACUGCGCUGCUUCAUUGGCUGUCGUUGUAAAAGUGGUUAUGUGUUGAAUAAAGAGAACAAAUGUGUACUUCCGGAGAAUUGUUAAGUGACAAAUGUUGAUGAAAAUAGUUAUGUAAUAUUUUGGAAAAAUAAAAAAAACAAAAAAAAAUUAAAAUUUAUUAUUUUUUUAUUGUUGAAGCUAUCACUGUUUUAAUUUUGUGCUGUCUGCCAGCUGUUAUAAUUAUUACCGUGAAGCAAUUAUUGUGAAUACUAAAUACUUAAAAAUAUAUAUUUUACAACUGGUGAUUAAGAUAGAAGCAUGAA